rnacentral:rRNA from 1 species
AUAGCGUAUAUUAGUGUUGUUGCGGUUAAAAAGCUCGUAGUUGAAUUUCGGGAUUGGGAUAUAUCGGUCAUGCCUUUAGGGGCAUGAAUCGGUGUGUAGCCAAUUUCUCACCUUCUGGUGAAUUGGGAUGCUCUUGGGUGUUUCAAUGAACUAGGACUUUUACUUUGAAAAAAAUAUAGUGUUUAAAGCGGGCAUUUUUGCUUGAAUACAUUAGCAUGGAAUAAUAAAAUAGGACGAUGGUUCUAUUUUGUUGGUUUUAGGACCACGUAAUGAUUAAUAGGGAUAGUUGGGGGCAUUAGUAUUCAAUUGUCAGAGGUGAAAUUCUUGGAUUUAUUGAAGACUAACUACUG